CGGACGGGUGAGUAAUGUAUGGGGAUCUGCCUGAUGGCGGGGGAUAACUACUGGAAACGGUAGCUAAUACCGCAUAACGUCGCAAGACCAAAGAGGGGGACCUUCGGGCCUCUUGCCAUCGGAUGUGCCCAUAUGGGAUUAGCUAGUAGGUAAGGUAACGGCUUACCUAGGCGACGAUCCCUAGCUGGUCUGAGAGGAUGAUCAGCCACACUGGGACUGAGACACGGCCCAG
rnacentral:rRNA from 1 species